GUUAGGAAUAUUGGACAAUGGGCGCAAGCCUGAUCCAGCCAUGCCGCGUGAGUGAUGAAGGCCUUCGGGUUGUAAAGCUCUUUAGCCGAUGAUUAUAAUGACUGUAGUCGGAAAAUAAGCCCCGACUAACUUCGUGCCAGCAGCCGCGGUAAUACGAAGGGGGCGAGCGUUAUUCGGAAUCACUGGGCGUAAAGCGUGAGUAGGCGGCUUUGCAGGUUGGGAGUGAAAGCACAGGGCUCAACCAUGGAAUUGCUCUCAAAACUACAAGGAUCGAAUUCGGGAGAGGAUAGCGGAAUUGUCAGUGUAGCAGUGAAAUGCGUAGAUAUUGACAGGAACACCAGUGGCGUAAGCGGCUAUCUGGACCGAUAUUGACGCUGAGGCACGAAAGCGUGGUGAUCAAACAGGAUUAGAUACCCCUGUAGUCC
rnacentral:rRNA from 1 species